rnacentral:SRP_RNA from 2 species
GCCAGGUGUGGUGGCGCAUACCUGUAGUCCCAGCUACUUGGGAGGCUGAAGUGGGAGGAUCACUUGAGCCCAGGAGGCAGAGGUUGCAGUGAGCCCAGAUUGUGCCACUGCAUUCCAGCCUGGGCAACACAGUGAGACCCCAUCUCAA